UAAGUACCUUGUGAAAGCCCCGGGCUCAACUCGGGAAUUGCUUGGUAUACUAUCGCCCUUGAGGCGGGCAGGGGUCACUGGAACCUUAGGUGGAGCGGUGAAAUGCGUAGAUAUCUAAGGGAACGCCUGUGGCGAAAGCGGGUGACUGGGCCUGUUCUGACGCUGAGACCUGAAAGCGUAGGGAGCGAACGGGAUUAGAUACCCCGGUAGUCUACGCCGUAAACGAUGCGCACUAGGUCCGAGGGCUUCUGACAGUCGUCGUGCCGAAACAAAAGCGAUAAGUGCGCCGCCUGGGGAGUACGGCCGCAAGGCUAAAACUCAAAGGAAUUGACGGGGGCUCACACAAGCGGUGGAGCAUGUGGAUCAAUUCGAAGCAACGCGCAGAACCCUACCUGGGUUUGACAUGUACGGAUGCCCUCUUGGAAACAGGAGUAAGCUGCCUUCGGGUGAAACGUGCACAGGUGCUGCAUGGCUGUCGUCAGCUCGUGCUGUGAAGUGUCGGGUUAAGUCCCUUAACGAGCGAAACCCUUAUCGCUAGUUGCCAGCGGGUCAUGCCGGGAACUCUAGCGAGACUGCCGGCGUUAAGCCGGAGGAAGGUGGGGAUGACGUCAAGUCAUCAUGGCCUUUAUGCCCAGGGUGUCACACGUGCUACAAUGGGGCGUACAGAGCGAAGCGAUACCGUGAGGUGGAGCAAAUCGCAGAAAGCGUCCCUCAGUUCGGAUUGGGGUCUGCAAUUCGACCCCAUGAAGUCGGAAUCGC
rnacentral:rRNA from 1 species